rnacentral:tRNA from 1 species
GGCGGCCGGGCUGCUGGGGGCGCGGAUCCUGCGGCGGUUCGGGCCGCGGCUGAUGGUGUGCGCCGGGUUCUGCCUGACGGCCGCCGC